UAUGAAUUACGCAACAACACUCAUUCUAAUAUUUGAUGAUAAAUAUCGUACACACAAAAUGAAAGUGUUCAUUUUGUACACGUUAGUUAUUGGGAAUACAAUGGGUUUUUUGAUAGAGGGAAACAAUCCAGGAGGAGAGCAUGGACCGGAGACCUAUGCGGGAAAACGGACGAAAUGUAAUUUGAAUGCCAAAGAAAUCCCAUACCUGCCAUUGAGGAAAGCCAAUUUUCUGCUGGGUCGAACUGAACAGCCAAUAUGUGAUAGAGCUCUAAUUCCCAACGGGGGGUCAUGGUACAAGAUAGAAGAGAAUAUUGUGACAAACGAGACUCUUCCAUAUCGCUGUGGAACGGAAAAUGGAAUAUGGAUGAAUGGAACUAUUCCUGAAAGAGGUGAUGGGAUAGUUAACAGGACGACUUGCGUCCCAGGACUUUUCACGACUUGUGAUUUUACAUACAACAUAAUGGUGGAGAACUGUGGAGUGUAUCGAAUGUAUUUUCUGCCACCACCUUCGCGCUGUAACGAGGCUUACUGUUUUGGAUAUGGAAAGUCAGGUCGUGUUCCAACGAAUACUACAGAGAAACCAACUAUAAGAUAUGGAUUUGAAAAGAUAAUCGAACGAUAUGCAUUUGAAUCAUUUUAUUUUGAGUGUUCAUUCCAAACUUUACAAGAUGACGCAUAUUUUUAUCAAAUACAUUGGUUUGCAAACGGACAAAAUAUACGGGUUAUGCAACCGGUUAAAAGGGGACAUAUCGCACAAAGCAGAUGGACGCUGGAUACGGAUUUACCUACUUUUAAUGUCAAUGUUUCCUGCGCGGUAUCAUUAAUGUACGGUCAGGAUCAAAAGGCAGGUCCCAUGUCAUCGCGAAGUGAUGAGUUUUUCGCAGGGAUCAAAGUCAGUCCACAAUCAAUUAUAAUUCCCAGAGGACACACAGGACAAGUUGAUUUAUCCUUGACGGUUCCAAUUCCUUGCAGCUUCAGAAAUAUACAAGACAGUAAACCUGAAAAUUGUCAUCUUGAUUUAGAAGUAUACCUUCCAUCCUUUGAUACAUGUACUCCUAAAAUCAACAGUCAAGGACGAUGUGCAGUUUCCAUUCGCAAAGACGACUGGAAUAAAUCAAAUGGGUUGGUUGUCCGCCAUGACGACGAUGCCCUUUACAAACUUUACCAUUACUAUGAAAUACAUCUCAGAACAGUUCCGCUAAUUGGUGCCAAAAUGUGGCGCGGUAUUAUUUUACCUCCCAUUAAGGUGACUAUUACAGAGGCAUCGACUGUCUGGCAGGGACGGAGCUGUUAUGCUCACACUACAUCACAUAUGAAAACUUUUGAUGGCAUAAAAUACGACAACCAAAAUGACGGAACCUUUAUCAUGUAUAGAUCGCAAGAUGGCAGUGGAAACAUAAUGGAGGUGCAAACCAAAACGACUGAGUGCAACAAUUUACACACUGGGAUAUUCUGUAACUGUGCAAUAGCUGUUCGAGCUGCGGGUGAUGUUUUCGUCAUAAACAGAUGUCCUCAUACACAGGCAUAUUUCAAUUUCAAAAGCUGCCACAAUGACAUAUUGAUGAUAAAGAAAAUAGAUGAUUUGAAUUACAAGUUUGUAUUUCCAACUGGAACAUAUUUAAACGUUCGACUUCGGUUGUACGAAGCAGUGAACGUGAUGGAAAUAGAAAUAUUUCCUUCCCUGUACGACAUCUAUGAAAGUGAGGGAUUAUGUAGCCGACUAGGUUCCAGUGGUGUGUUAUAUGCCAGAGACCAUUCACACACUCCUUAUCAAAAUAGACCAGACGUGUUUUCAAGAUCUUGGAGUACCUGGAAGAACCUACAGUGGACAUGCAUGUACAAGUACUGACAAUCACGAGGAUCGGGCUCGUCAACUAUAAUUAUAUGUAAACGCUCAUCGACAUAUCAAGAAGAUAUGUGAAAACUAUAUAUCGACUUUGUAAAUGAAUUUACUUCGAUGAACUUGCUAAAUAUCAAACCAAUUCUGUGAUUUGUUAAAGAUUCAAUAGAUCCUAUAAUCUUUCAACAGUCGGAGAUUUUGAAGAAUGCUCUGCUGAAGGAAGUGGGUUGAAAAGCAUCCUUGAAAAUAUGAAUCACUGUACCAAUGUAUACUCUACAAGGACAAGUAUGCAUACCAUCCUACAGAAAGAACAUCGGGGUCGGUCCUUUAUGGUCUAGAUACCACAGCACAGGGGUUACACCCACAAGAAAUAUGCGCGAAAGACUUAGUUUUUGUUCUUUUUUCGGAUUUUAGGAUGCAAUUGUUUUCACCUUCAGUCCUCCCCUUUUGUUUGCUACCUUUUUAUGAGUUUUCUCUUUCUUUUGACGCCUGGAUUAUCUGUGUGCUUUUAUGGUUAGCUCAUCAGCUUUUGAGCACAACUGCUCAGAAUGCUAUAGUUAAGUAUUAAUGGUUCAAUACUGAUCUCAUUGGUGCAAACAUAUUACACUACUACUGAACUCUACUCAGUUGAAAAAUGUGCCAAUUCAAAUUUUGAUAGGGUUUGGCAAGGACUAUAUUUUGUGGCGGAAGGAUUUAUUAAUCAAACAUAUCUCAAUCACCAUGACUUUACGGUUUCUGUUUCAUCCAAUAUAUUUUAUAUUUUUAUACCCUUGUCAAUGUAUUUCAGUUUUGUGAUGUAUGAUGCAAGUAUAUGAAACUUGGAACUAGUUCAGAUAUUGUGAUUUAUAAAUUUGGUUGAUAUAUCUUUCUAAACAGAACACCGGAUCCUAAAAAAGUCUGAAUUGAUUUACUCAAAAUUUUGUAUCAAAAGGCAGUAUUUUGGCCAAUGAUCUAAAAAUCUGUUCUGUAACGUGGUCGUCAGGGUAAACAAAUCUCAGACUCUGGUAGCGAGUAGCAUACGAUUCUGGUAUUGAAUCGAGUUAUAAAACUCUGGUAGCGAGUGAAUUUCAAGUAAAUAAGACAAGGCGGUAUCAGAUUUGAUCAAGUAUUAUUACGAUUCAGUAGCAUAGAAAUGAUAUUUACAAUGAAAACAAUGUGCUAUUUUAAGACAAGAUGGGGAAUUCUGUAGCCCAAAACGGAAAUGGUUAAAACGAAAGUGAAAAUGAAACUAAAGACGAUUUACAAACAAGUCGCGAUGGAUUGGCACAUCUCCCUGGGAUUGGGAGUAAUUUAUAUGGGGGAUAGCUUACCGACAGCUAAAACACGUCCGUCUCGGAUCUGUCCAGGAUGAGAUCUGUCUCUUAAACGAUAGGAGUUGGAGCGACUCCCAUAACGACAUAAGUGGUCGCACGUGCGACAACAGCAACGACGCAUCUUCGUCCAAAUAAUGGCGUCUUCGUAGAUGGUCACGACCAUGUAAACAUUGGACUACGGUAACGGCUAAAGAAUUCCAUCUCAGCUUAUUACAAUAUAUAGUAAAUAUAUACAUAAAUAUAUACAAAUCAACAAAGCAAUUCCUGAAAUGUAAAACAGGACAAUAUGAAUUAAUGAAGCUCUAGAAGACGUCUUCCCUUCUAUAUGGCUCAUAUUAAAUAUAUGUACAAAGUGAAUGGCCAUAUAUGUGUGUAUACAAAUAUGGAAAGAUAAACUAAAUGAACAUGACCAUUAUGAAUGAAUAAUAAAUAGAUGAAUGGAUCUCAAAUUAUCCACAUGCAAUUACCUAGUGGUUCAAGUAUUAAACACCACACAACUAGUCAUGAUAUAUCAUACAUAUAUAAAGUCCAACCCCCACCCACGCUAUUUGCCUUUACUUACCCAAAUCCGUUACAGUUCUAUAACCUCCACAAGACUAAACAUUAUGUGAAAGUUUAGAAAUUCACAUUACACUAUCAAAUUCGACAACAUGAAUUUUUCCGUAUAUCAAAUGCAAAAAGACCAUUAUUUAUUUCCAUUACAAGUACAGGUGCAUUAAACGUUUUUGAUAUAUGUAUGUUAAAAUAAAGGUGAUGAUAACGAACAGUGAUCAAUCUCUUAACUCCUUUAAGCAAUACAAAAUAGAUAGUUGGGCAAACACGGACCCCUGGACACACCAGAGGUGGGAUCGGGUUCCUAGGAGAAAGUUCUUCCAAAAGAAGAUUUGAUUGGACCAAAUAGUUUAUCACUACAAGGACUGAGAACAGUACAUUUGUAUUGCACUUGCGAGGUGGAUCAACCAAGAUUUCAAUAUUCCAAUAUUUCAGUCUGCA